UUAGCUCAGUUGGUUAGAGCGUGGUGCUAAUAACGCCAAGGUCACGGGUUCUUAGUUGACGUUAUCAACCUUCUACUGUAAGAACAA